CCUACGGGAGGCAGCAGUGGGGAAUAUUGGGCAAUGGGCGCAAGCCUGACCCAGCAACGCCGCGUGAAGGAAGAAGGCUUUCGGGUUGUAAACUUCUUUUAUCAGGGACGAAGCAAGAGACGGUACCUCAUGAAUAAGCCACGGCUAACUACGUGCCAGCAGCCGCGGUAAUACGUAGGUGGCAAGAGUUAUCCGGAUUUACUGGGUGUAAAGGGAGUGUAGGCGGGAGUGCAAGUCAGAUGUGAAAACUAUGGGCUCAACACAUAGCCUGCAUUUGAAACUGGACUUCUUGAGUGCUGGAGAGGCAAGCGGAAUUCGGGGUGUAGCGGUGAAAUGCGUAGAUAUACGGAGGAACACCAGUGGCGAAGGCGGAUUGCUGGACAGUAACUGACGCUGAGGCGCGAAAGCGUGGGGAGCAAACAGGAUUAGAUACCCUGGUAGUC
rnacentral:rRNA from 1 species